rnacentral:rRNA from 1 species
CCUACGGGAGGCUGCAGUGAGGAAUAGUGGUCAAUGGGCUGACGCCUGAACCAGCCAAGUCGCGUGAGGGAAGACUGCCCUAUGGGUUGUAAACCUCUGUUGUCAGGGAGCAAGUGGCGCUACGUGUAGCGUGAUCGAGAGUACCUGAAGAAAAAGCAGCGGCGAACCCCGUGCCAGCAGCCGCGGUAAAAAGGAGGAUGCGAGCGUUAGCCGGAUUUCUUGGGUUGAAAGGGUGCGUAGGCGGAAUGCCAAGUCAGCGGUAAAAUCGCGGGGCUCAACCUCGCUCCGCCGUUGAAACUGGCGUUCUUGAGUGUGCGAGAAGUAUUCGGCAUGCGUGUUGUAGCCG